rnacentral:misc_RNA from 1 species
GUUUUGACACUUUUUUUUUUUUUUGAGUUGUAGUCCUUAAUCCCCAAGAAAAGAUGGUUUAUUGAAAGGGGUGCUACAUUGGCUUUCAUGGUGGGAUGGAUACAACUCUCAGUUUGACCUCCCAGAACCAUAAGCUACUGAUUAGAAAAGACGCUAAUGAAGGAUAAUUAUAGAGAAUAGUAACAGAGGGCUUGAAAGCCAUAGAUGUAGAAAGAACUAAGCCUUUGUAUGUGGAAGGAUGAUGGGCAUUGAACUAGAAGAGAAUUCAGAGUUCAUGUCCUAAUAUUUGGUUGUUUGGGUGAACCAAGUGGAGGGAAUUGUCCUUGUUGCUUAUGGGCGUCAU